UAGGGAAUCUUCCGCAAUGGACGCAAGUCUGACGGAGCAACGCCGCGUGAGUGAAGAAGGUUUUCGGAUCGUAAAGCUCUGUUGUUAAGGAAGAACGAGUGUGAGAAUGGAAAGUUCAUGCUGUGACGGUACUUAACCAGAAAGGGACGGCUAACUACGUGCCAGCAGCCGCGGUAAUACGUAGGUCCCGAGCGUUGUCCGGAUUUAUUGGGCGUAAAGCGAGCGCAGGCGGUUAGAAAAGUCUGAAGUUAAAGGCAGUGGCUCAACCAUUGUAGGCUUUGGAAACUGUUUAACUUGAGUGCAGAAGGGGAGGGUGGAAUUCCAUGUGUAGCGGUGAAAUGCGUAGAUAUAUGGAGGAACACCGGUGGCGAAAGCGGCUCUCUGGUCUGUAACUGACGCUGAGGCUCGAAAGCGUGGGGAGCGAACAGG
rnacentral:rRNA from 1 species